rnacentral:rRNA from 1 species
AGUGAACGCUGGCGGUAGGCCUAACACAUGCAAGUCGAACGGCAGCACAGUAAGAGCUUGCUCUUACGGGUGGCGAGUGGCGGACGGGUGAGGAAUACAUCGGAAUCUACUUUUUCGUGGGGGACAACGUAGGGAAACUUACGCUAAUACCGCAUACGUCCUACGGGUGAAAGCAGGGGAUCUUCGGACUUUGCGCGAUUGAAUGAGCCGAUGUCGGAUUAGCUAGUUGGCGGGGUAAAGGCCCACCAAGGCGACGAUCCGUAGCUGGUCUGAGAGGAUGAUCAGCCACACUGGAACUGAGACACGGUCCAGACUCCUACGGGAGGCAGCAGUGGGGAAUAUUGGACAAUGGGCGCAAGCCUGAUCCAGCCAUACCGCGUGAGUGAAGAAGGCCUUCGGGUUGUAAAGCCCUUUUAUUAGGAAAGAAAAGCAGCAGAUGAAUACCCCGCUGUUCUGACGGUACCCAAAGAAUAAGCACCGGCUAACUUCGUG